UACCAGCACCCCGAGUGGUCGGGACGAUUAUUGGGCCUAAAGCAUCCGUAGCCGGUUCUACAAGUCUUCCGUUAAAUCCACCUGCUUAACAGAUGGGCUGCGGAGGAUACUAUAGAGCUAGGAGGCGGGAGAGGCAAGCGGUACUUAGUGGGUAGGGGUAAAAUCCGUUGAUCCAUUGAAGACCACCAGUGGCGAAGGCGGCCUUCUGGACCAAUACUGACGCUCAUGCACGAAAGCGUGGGGAGCAAACAGG
rnacentral:rRNA from 1 species